UACGUAGGGUGCAAGCGUUAUCCGGAUUUACUGGGUGUAAAGGGCGAGUAGACGGUUAUUUAAGUCAGUUGUGAAAUCUUGGGGCUCAACCCCAAGACUGCAAUUGAAACUAAAUUACUAGAGUGUAGGAGAGGAAAAUGGAAUUCCUAGUGUAGCGGUGAAAUGCGUAGAUAUUAGGAGGAACACCAGUGGCGAAGGCGAUUUUCUGGACUAUAACUGACGUUGAGGAGCGAAAGUGUGGGGAGCAAACAGG
rnacentral:rRNA from 1 species